UACGUAGGGGGCAAGCGUUGUCCGGAAUCAUUGGGCGUAAAGAGCGCGUAGGCGGUCCGGUAAGUCCGCUCUGAAAGUCCGGGGGCUCAACCCCGGGAGGCGGGCGGAUACUGUCGGGCUAGAGUCCGGAAGAGGCGAGUGGAAUUCCUGGUGUAGCGGUGAAAUGCGCAGAUAUCAGGAGGAACACCGGUGGCGAAGGCGGAUCUCUGGGCCGAUACUGACGCUGAGGAGCGAAAGCGUGGGGAGCGAACAGG
rnacentral:rRNA from 1 species